rnacentral:rRNA from 1 species
AAAGUCUAAACGACUCUCGGCAACGGAUAUCUCGGCUCUCGCAUCGAUGAAGAACGCAGCGAAAUGCGAUACUUGGUGUGAAUUGCAGAUCCCGUGAACCAUCGAGUCUUUGAACGCAAGUUGCGCCCGAGGCCUCGGCCGAGGGCACGUCUGCCUGGGU